UGCCGCCCAUGGUAUCUGAUGCCAUGACCAAAUUUAUGUUGUAGGCAUCUCGUUAGAUGGGCGUAUAGCGAUGAAAACAGGCUUGCGACACAGUUUGCUAAUACAAUCCAAAGCUUACUGUUACUUUUAUUUCUGUUCACAUAU
rnacentral:snoRNA from 11 species